GACCGGGGGAUUCACCACGCUGCACCUGGGACAACCACUGUGGACCCAGGCAGACCCCUCGAAAGUGACCUCACAGGAGACUGCGGAGAAAUGAUCUGCCCAUUCCUAUAAUUGGAAGAUGGAGUCAGGAAGCUUAGAAUUUCAAGGCCAGCCUCAGCUAAACGGGGAGUUCAAGAGCAUGUAGUUCUAUACAAACAACACCCUGUCUCAAAAAAAAAAAAAAAUUAAAACCAAAACCAAACCAAAAGAAAACCCAAAGCAUUUGGGAGAAAGAGGCACAAUCAGGUGGAUCUCUAUGACCAGGGUGGUCUACAUGUUGAGUCUCAGGCCAGCCAGGACUACACGGUGAGAUCCUUUCUCAAAGAGCCAACAAGCAAGCAGAUGCGGACAUCUUCUGAAAGACUCAGAUACAAUCUCCCAGCAGUGAAUGCUGUGUUUGGGUCCCUGGUCUUGGAGGUGCACAGGUGGUUCCAUGCUCUUGGACUUAACAGUUUGAUGCUCCCUCCGGGCUGGGAAUGCCCCAUACAAUGCCUAACUGGAAAGAGCAAGUCUCAAACAUUCAGCAUUUAGAAACCACCUGGAGGCACUUUGGGCCAUGGAGCCAGCCACGCUAGCUCCAAAUGCUUGGAUUCAAAGGACAGAAACAAAGAGUAAACAGUAUCCAGCCCUUUUCAAACAACAGUCCAGCUGCUUCCUUCCUUCCUUCCUUUCCCUCUUCUUUUUCCUUUUCCUUUUCCUUUUUCUGAGACAGGCUCUGACUAUGUCACCCUAGCUGGGCUUGAACUCAGGGAGAUCUAUCUGCCUCUACCUCCUAUAUACUAGUAUUGAAAGUGUGUACCACCAC
ensembl:lncRNA LOC120101758 uncharacterized LOC120101758